rnacentral:rRNA from 1 species
UACGUAGGGGGCUAGCGUUAUCCGGAAUUACUGGGCGUAAAGGGUGCCUAGGUGGUUUCUUAAGUCAGAGGUGAAAGGCUACGGCUCAACCGUAGUAAGCCUUUGAAACUGGGAAACUUGAGUGCAGGAGAGGAGAGUGGAAUUCCUAGUGUAGCGGUGAAAUGCGUAGAUAUUAGGAGGAACACCAGUUGCGAAGGCGGCUCUCUGGACUGUAACUGACACUGAGGCACGAAAGCGUGGGGAGCAAACAGGAUUAGAUACCCGCGUAGUCCCUGAG